rnacentral:rRNA from 1 species
CUCUGUGACUCCUACGGGAGGCAGCAGUGGGGAAUAUUGGACAAUGGGCGAAAGCCUGAUCCAGCCAUGCCGCGUGUGUGAAGAAGGUCUUCGGAUUGUAAAGCACUUUAAGUUGGGAGGAAGGGCAGUUACCUAAUACGUGAUUGUUUGACGUUACCGACAGAAUAAGCACCGGCUAACUCUGUGCCAGCAGCCGCGGUAAUACAGAGGGUGCAAGCGUUAAUCGGAAUUACUGGGCGUAAAGCGCGCGUAGGUGGUUAGUUAAGUUGGAUGUGAAAUCCCCCGGGCUCAACCUGGGAACUGCAUUCAAAACUGACUGACUAGAGUAUGGUAGAGGGUGGUGGAAUUUCCUGUGUAGCGGUGAAAUGCGUAGAUAUAGGAAGGAACACCAGUGGCGAAGGCGACCACCUGGACUGAUACUGACACUGAGGUGCGAAAGCGUGGGGAGCCAAACAGGAUUAGAUACCCCUGGUAG